rnacentral:tRNA from 1 species
GGUGGCUCAGUGGUAGAGUGCUUGUUUCACAUGCAUGAGGCCCUGGGUUCGAUUCCUCAGCACCA